AUUGAACGCUGGCGGCAGGCCUAACACAUGCAAGUCGAACGAGUGGCGGACGGGUGAGUAAUGUCUGGGAAACUGCCCGAUGGAUGGGGAUAACUACUGGAAACAGUAGCUAAUACCGCAUACCAUCGGCUUUGCCCAGCUGGGAUUAUCUAGUAGGUGGGGUAACGGCUCACCUAGGCGACGAUCCCUAGCUGGUCUGAGAGGAUGACCAGCAAUACUGGAACUGAGACACGGUCCAGACUCCUACGGGAGGCAGGAGUGGGGAAUAUUGCACAAUGGGCGCAAGCCUGAUGCAGCCAUGCAGCGUGUAUGAAGAAGGCCUUAGGGUUGUAAAGUACUUUCAGCGAGGAGGCGUUACUCGCAGAAGAAGCAACGGCUAACUCCGUGCCAGCAGCCGCGGUAAUUC
rnacentral:rRNA from 1 species